GAUGAACGCUAGCGGGAGGCUUAACACAUGCAAGGUCAGGGGCAGCACGAUGUAGCAAUACGUUGGUGGCGACCGGCGCACGGGUGAGUAACGCGUAUGUAACCUGCCCUUUACCGGAGGAUAACCCGGAGAAAUUCGGACUAAUAUUCCAUAAAGAUACUUAGAGGCAUCUUUGAGUAUUUAAAGCUACGGUGGUAAAGGAGGGGCAUGCGUAACAUUAGCUAGUUGGGAGGGUAACGUCCUGCCAAGGCAAUGAUGUUUAGGGGACCUGAGAGGGUGAUCCCCCACACUGGUACUGAGACACGGACCAGACUCCUACGGGAGGCAGCAGUGAGGAAUAUUGGUCAAUGGGCGACAGCCUGAACCAGCCAUCCCGCGCGAAGGAAGAAAGCGCUAUGCGUUGUAAACUUCUUUUCCAGAGGGAUAAAAUGAUGUACGCGUACAUUACUGAAGGUACUCUGGGAAUAAGCAUCGGCUAACUCCGUG
rnacentral:rRNA from 1 species